UCACUGCAGAGCCUGCAUAAGUCAGGUCAUAGCCAUCAUACUGAGAGAAAAACAUAGACAAAUGAUCUGGACAAGAGAAUUACAGGCAAAUCGUUAAGUUUGCUGAGGACAACAAACACAAAGAGGUCCAUAACAAGGAACAGGAAGCUAAAACUUGGGUGAUACCAUUCCUAACUUGUAGCCAAGUUAAAGAACCAAGGGACUACAGUUGAGUGGAACAGAAUCUGGCCCUAAAUCCUUUUGCCUGUAAGCUGUUGUGAUGGACAGGAAGUGGUCUGAGCAACUGUAAAUUGGACAGGAGGUCUCAGCGGGACAAACUCUUAGACUGCGAGCUAUACUGUUAAAUGGUGGGAGACCCCUGCCUCAGAAGAGACUGAGACUUUCAUUCUAUUUCACUUUAAGCUGUUUCCCCAUAGACUGGUACCACAAUAGGUGCAACUCACCCUGGCAGUGUCAUUUUGAUGUGGACUAUUAUAUUUUGUUGAUAGCGUAACUGAAGGUUGUUGAUGUGUUUUUUUCCCCCUGGGCAAAUAAGGGAUUUAGUAGCAAUGCCUACACCCAUUUCUGCAUUGUGCACGCCACCUACAUAGCCUUGAAAAUGUAUCUCACUACAUAACACACAAAAAACUAAAGCAGUAAAGAGGAAAGAUAUUUGAAUAAAUGAUUUUAGGAUUCACUGAGUAUGAAACACUAAAACAUAAAUAAGUCAUACUAUUUACUUGGCCAACUCUGUAAAUAAGAAACUGCCCCUAAUUUAGAAAUAAUGAGUUAUGUCUGCAAAAGCUUCUACCUUUACUUGUAUUUUUAAAUAAAUACAAUCAACAUUUGGCUGUAGUUUGCAACAAACAUGCAAUUCAUGCAAUAAAAUCAAUUCAAGGUACAAAGAUCUAUCCAACUGACUUGUGGAGGGGCUUUUUAAGUAACACUUAAUUUUUAGUAUGCUUAUUAUAUUUUCAAACAAAUGAACUUCUAUUAUCCAGGUAGUGUUUGCAAAGGAAAAGUAAACAGGCAAAAAUGACAUAAACUGUUCUUAGGCUUGAAGUAAGCAAGCCUAAUCUAAUUUGAUGAAGUGACUCAGAUUUCUUCCCUGACAUACUUCUUAUUCAGGUUAUGUGGUCUAUCCCUCUGCAGAGAGUCAGCCCAAAGCCUGGAGACUACGUCAUAUGUCCAAUGUCAAGGACUUUAG